UACAGAGGGGGCAAGCGUUGUUCGGAAUUACUGGGCGUAAAGGGCGCGUAGGCGGCCUGUUAAGUCGAACGUGAAAUCCCCGGGCUCAACCCGGGAACUGCGUCCGAUACUGGCAGGCUUGAAUUCGGGAGAGGGAUGCGGAAUUCCAGGUGUAGCGGUGAAAUGCGUAGAGAUGUGGAGGAACACCAGUGGCGAAGGCGGCUUUCUGGUCUGUAACUGACGCUGAGGCGCGAAAGCGUGGGGAGCAAACAGG
rnacentral:rRNA from 1 species